GCCCGCCUAGCUCAAUCGGAUAGAGCGUCAGACUCUUAGGCAGGUGUUAAUCAUACUCUGUAAUCUGAAGGCUGCGAGUUCGACCCUCGCGGUGGGCU